ensembl:lncRNA
CAAACGGCUGAGACCGGUUAAUGGACUACAGCUGCCAGCAUGCGCAGCGAGGGGCUCCACCUGCCGCCGCGCCACUCCGUGCGCCGAGGGCGGUUCCAGCACGCCCCGCGGAGGCCGGAUGACCCCCAAGUCACGCCCACGUGACCCAGCGAGGCCCGGCGGGCCCAGAGCGGCGGGAUUCGUUUUGAUAUCGUGGUCCUGCGUCUCCGCGAGACGCCGCUGGGGCGACUUGUCGUGGCGGAAGUUGGACUUCUCGCAGACAACUGCAAGGAUCCUCCCUCUGGACCGGGUGGUCAGGCUCGCUCCAGAGCUGGCUUUGGACUCCGGCUGGCUGAACGGUCCACUCCUUGGUCAGACCUCUUGGAAGGACUGCCCCAGCCAUGUUAUAAAAGGAGGAAACGUCACAGUGGGCAGCCCCCAUUCCUGCGUUAGACAGACAGGAAACAGGCGCACAGCUCAAGACAAUAGACUUGCCUCCUGCUGCGCCCACCAAGAUAGCAGACCCACUACCUGCUGUGUCCAUCAAGUGCUGUGCCGACAGGGCAAUCUUGUGACUAUUGUAAAAGGGACAUUUCAAUCAUAUGUGAAACAUCCUGUUUGGGGUUCUGCAUUGCUACCUGCUUGUCAAAUGAGUAUUGGCCACCCCAGUUCUGUGCAGAGAGGAUGCAAAACAGCAGAGUAUCUGUGGUGCAACUUUCUGGAGCAUCAAUUUUACUACAACGUUUGGAAGAAACAAAGUUAAGUAGUUUCCAAGCCAUUCUUCACUCAGCAUGCAGAGUGACCUCUUGAAAGCAUGAAGAGCAAGGAUAUGCACCACCCACCUCCCCAUUCAAAUUCUGCCACUGCUUCUCAUUGUGAGAGAAUAAGAGCUUAGACAACCUGGCCCCUGCCUGCUCCUUCAGCCUCCUCUCCUACCUUCUUGUUGAGACUUACAUGUGAGAUGUUCUGGUAUCUAGAACUGAAAGCAAUCUUAACUCACAAAUAGAUAUCAGAUCAUCGAAUCUAGAGCAAAGGGCAUAGAAGGAAAAGUUGAAGGGAGAAUGAAAGGUGAGAAUUUUUUAAGCGCCAGAAACUAUGAACACAUAACAGAUCUGUAUGAAUAUGCUCAAAAGAAUGUGGUAACAAAGUUAAAAAAAAGUGUGUCAACAGACUUGCAAAGAAGUAGAAAUACUUUUGACCAUAAUUUGCAAACAAAAACUACACUUAGUACACAUUACAUUUCCGGACGUAAUGCAAUAAAAUUAGAAAUAACAGAAAUAGAGAACUUCAAAAUGUUCAGCUUUUUGGAAAUGUUAAAAUAUUGUUGUAAAUAAGUUAAUUCUUGUGUGAGGGUUCAUAUCCACAAAACAAUUACAGUGCCUGUACACACACGAGCUUGCUGAUGCAUCCAGAUGUGUGCAGUGGUGGGGAAAGGACGAGCUCUCUGACCCAGAAGCUUCUGGAACAACAGGGCCUCUGCACACACGAGCUUGCUGAUACAUCCAGAUGUGUGCAGUGGUAGGAAAGGAUGAGCUCUCUGACCCAGAAGCUCCUGGAGUGACAGUGCCUGUGAACACAUGAGCUCGCUGAUGCGUCCAGAUGUGUAUAGUGGUAGGAAAGGAGCUCUCUGUCCAGAAGCUCUUGGAGCGCCAGUGCCUGUGCACACACGAGCUUGCUGAUGCAUCCAGAUGUGUGCAGUGGUGGGGAAAGGACGAGCUCUCUGACCCAGAAGCUCUUGGAGCGACAGUGCCUGUGCGCACACGUGCUUGCUGAUGCGUCCAGAUGUGUGCAGUGACGGGAAAGGAGCUCUCUGACCAGAAGCUCCUGGAACGACAGGGUCAGUGCACACACAAGCUUGCUGAUGCAUCCAGAUGUGUGCAGUGGUGGGAAGGACGAGCUCUCUGACCUAGAAGCUCCUGGAGUGACAGGGUGAUGUUCAUCGGAACCCCAGCAACCCCCUGUGUCAUUUACCAUAUUGUGACCAGUGGGAGCCGGGUGGAGGUGGCCGGGAACUGUAACUGUUACAGAUGCUGGUCAUAAACCCAAGGCCGCCUCCCUUGGUGCCUGCCCUUGACCCUGCUGUUGUUUCCUGCACUGGGGUUCCCGGAAGCCCCACCGCUGGACCUGUGCUGGUGGACAGGACCAGACUGCCCUCUGAUGGCAGCAGUUUGAAAACUGGCACCAGCAGCUGCCGUGGAAAAAAGUGAUGGCCCAGGAGACUGUGUGACCCUCCCACGGAGGGAUCAGGAUCCCAGCAGGGCUCCCGGGCAGGGCUCAGAGCCCGUCUGCUUCCUGCCCUUUCUCCUCUGCUGCUCUCCUCUGACUAUGGGAGUCGGGGAAGCAAACAGUCAUGAAAAAUGGCACUUCUAUUGGCUGUGUCUGUAUGUGGAAGUGCACAAAUGAAGGAAGAUUUUAAAGCAGAACACAGAACAAUUUGUGCUGUCUGAUUAAAAUCUGUCAGAUAUGUUCAUUAACAAGUUUGGAAGAGAAUUUGGAAAUGGCUGAAAUUUUUAAUAAAGUUCAUUCUUUUAGUUUGUUUGAAUUUAAAAAGAUACGUUUAGAAAUAAAUUUGGCCCAUAAAAAAAUUAAAUCUUAGCUAUCCAGAAAUUCAAGUAUCUAGAAUAAGGUACUUCCCAAAGGUCUGUGUAACUCAGAUUUUACUAUAGCUUGAAAACUACUAAUGUAUAAUGUAGCUGAUGAAAUAAUAC